rnacentral:rRNA from 1 species
GAGGAUGCGAGCGUUAUCCGGAUUUAUUGGGUUUAAAGGGUGCGUAGGCGGCAUUGCAAGUCGGCGGUGAAAGACCAUGGCUCAACCAUGGCGAGCCGUCGAAACUGCGGGGCUUGAGAGGACGAGAGGUACGCGGAAUGCGCGGUGUAGCGGUGAAAUGCAUAGAUAUCGCGAAGAACUCCGAUUGCGAAGGCAGCGUACCGGUGUCUUUCUGACGCUGAGGCACGAAAGCGUGGGGAUCGAA